GGUUAAGCGACUAAGCGUACACGGUGGAUGCCCUGGCAGUCAGAGGCGAUGAAGGGCGUGCUAAUCUGCGAUAAGCGCCGGUAAGGUGAUAUGAACCGUUAUAACCGGCGAUACCCGAAUGGGGAAACCCAGUGUGAUUCGUCACACUAUCAUUAACUGAAUCCAUAGGUUAAUGAGGCGAACCGGGGGAACUGAAACAUCUAAGUACCCCGAGGAAAAGAAAUCAACCGAGAUUCCCCCAGUAGCGGCGAGCGAACGGGGAGGAGCCCAGAGCCUGAAUCAGCAUGUGUGUUAGUGGAAGCGUCUGGAAAGGCGCGCGAUACAGGGUGACAGCCCCGUACACAAAAGCGCAUGUGCUGUGAGCUCGAUGAGUAGGGCGGGACACGUGGUAUCCUGUCUGAAUAUGGGGGGACCAUCCUCCAAGGCUAAAUACUCCUGACUGACCGAUAGUGAACCAGUACCGUGAGGGAAAGGCGAAAAGAACCCCGGCGAGGGGAGUGAAAAAGAACCUGAAACCGUGUACGUACAAGCAGUGGGAGCCCCACCACCAAAGCAUUCUCUGGUGUUGAAGGCCCUGCAAAGCAGCAUCGCGGUGGCGGAGCGUCGUUUGCGACGCCCAACACACAAAACAAGCGGUGAGUGCUUUGGGGUGGGGUGACUGCGUACCUUUUGUAUAAUGGGUCAGCGACUUAUAUUCUGUAGCAAGGUUAACCGAAUAGGGGAGCCGGAGGGAAACCGAGUCUUAAUUGGGCGUUAAGUUGCAGGGUAUAGACCCGAAACCCGGUGAUCUAGCCAUGGGCAGGUUGAAGGUUGGGUAACACUAACUGGAGGACCGAACCGACUAAUGUUGAAAAAUUAGCGGAUGACCUGUGGCUGGGGGUGAAAGGCCAAUCAAACCGGGAGAUAGCUGGUUCUCCCCGAAAGCUAUUUAGGUAGCGCCUCGUGAAUUCAUCUCCGGGGGUAGAGCACUGUUUCGGCUAGGGGGCCAUCCCGGCUUACCAACCCGAUGCAAACUGCGAAUACCGGAGAAUGUUAUCACGGGAGACACACGGCGGGUGCUAACGUCCGUCGUGAAGAGGGAAACAACCCAGACCGCCAGCUAAGGUCCCAAAGUCAUGGUUAAGUGGGAAACGAUGUGGGAAGGCCCAGACAGCCAGGAUGUUGGCUUAGAAGCAGCCAUCAUUUAAAGAAAGCGUAAUAGCUCACUGGUCGAGUCGGCCUGCGCGGAAGAUGUAACGGGGCUAAACCAUGCACCGAAGCUGCGGCAGCGAACGUAUCACUUAAAGCGAUUCAGCGGGUUACGAUUGACGGAGCGAAGCGACGUCAAAGCGUAUACAAAGUCGAGUCGGUUUAAGGAUACGUUCGUUGGGUAGGGGAGCGUUCUGUAAGCCUGCGAAGGUGGCCUGUGAGGGUUGCUGGAGGUAUCAGAAGUGCGAAUGCUGACAUAAGUAACGAUAAAGCGGGUGAAAAGCCCGCUCGCCGGAAGACCAAGGGUUCCUGUCCAACGUUAAUCGGGGCAGGGUGAGUCGACCCCUAAGGCGAGGCCGAAAGGCGUAGUCGAUGGGAAACGGGUUAAUAUUCCCGUACUUGGUGUUACUGCGAAGGGGGGACGGAGAAGGCUAUGUUGGCCGGGCGACGGUUGUCCCGGUUUAAGCGUGUAGGUGUGUGUUCCAGGUAAAUCCGGUUCACUUUAACACUGAGGCGUGAUGACGAGGCACUACGGUGCUGAAGCAACAAAUGCCCUGCUUCCAGGAAAAGCCUCUAAGCAUCAGGUAACAUCAAAUCGUACCCCAAACCGACACAGGUGGUCAGGUAGAGAAUACCAAGGCGCUUGAGAGAACUCGGGUGAAGGAACUAGGCAAAAUGGUGCCGUAACUUCGGGAGAAGGCACGCUGACACGUAGGUGAAGUGAUUUACUCACGGAGCUGAAGUCAGUCGAAGAUACCAGCUGGCUGCAACUGUUUAUUAAAAACACAGCACUGUGCAAACACGAAAGUGGACGUAUACGGUGUGACGCCUGCCCGGUGCCGGAAGGUUAAUUGAUGGGGUCAGCGCAAGCGAAGCUCCUGAUCGAAGCCCCGGUAAACGGCGGCCGUAACUAUAACGGUCCUAAGGUAGCGAAAUUCCUUGUCGGGUAAGUUCCGACCUGCACGAAUGGCGUAAUGAUGGCCAGGCUGUCUCCACCCGAGACUCAGUGAAAUUGAACUCGCUGUGAAGAUGCAGUGUACCCGCGGCAAGACGGAAAGACCCCGUGAACCUUUACUAUAGCUUGACACUGAACAUUGAGCCUUGAUGUGUAGGAUAGGUGGGAGGCUUUGAAGUGUGGACGCCAGUCUGCAUGGAGCCGACCUUGAAAUACCACCCUUUAAUGUUUGAUGUUCUAACGUGGACCCGUGAUCCGGGUUGCGGACAGUGUCUGGUGGGUAGUUUGACUGGGGCGGUCUCCUCCUAAAGAGUAACGGAGGAGCACGAAGGUUGGCUAAUCCUGGUCGGACAUCAGGAGGUUAGUGCAAUGGCAUAAGCCAGCUUGACUGCGAGCGUGACGGCGCGAGCAGGUGCGAAAGCAGGUCAUAGUGAUCCGGUGGUUCUGAAUGGAAGGGCCAUCGCUCAACGGAUAAAAGGUACUCCGGGGAUAACAGGCUGAUACCGCCCAAGAGUUCAUAUCGACGGCGGUGUUUGGCACCUCGAUGUCGGCUCAUCACAUCCUGGGGCUGAAGUAGGUCCCAAGGGUAUGGCUGUUCGCCAUUUAAAGUGGUACGCGAGCUGGGUUUAGAACGUCGUGAGACAGUUCGGUCCCUAUCUGCCGUGGGCGCUGGAGAACUGAGGGGGGCUGCUCCUAGUACGAGAGGACCGGAGUGGACGCAUCACUGGUGUUCGGGUUGUCAUGCCAAUGGCACUGCCCGGUAGCUAAAUGCGGAAGAGAUAAGUGCUGAAAGCAUCUAAGCACGAAACUUGCCCCGAGAUGAGUUCUCCCUGAGACUUAGAGUCUCCUGAAGGAACGUUGAAGACGACGACGUUGAUAGGCCGGGUGUGUAAGCGCAGCGAUGCGUUGAGCUAACCGGUACUAAUGAACCGUGAGGCUUAACCUU
rnacentral:rRNA from 1 species